AAUAUGUGUGUGACUGCGUGUGCCCGCGGUUGUCCGCACCCCAAUUUUAUAGGUUAACAUUUGUCAGCAUUGGCACUAAAAAUGAGCUACAACAAAGGCAUCCAUCGAGAAAGACAUGAGCCUUCCAGCCACACCAAGACUCAUAAUGCUUGGGAACAAUUUCUCUCUUCCACAAAGUGGAUGGUAAGCAUUGAGGGAAAGGUGGCCUAUGUUUUGGAUGAGCACCUGGGAUGUGCAGAUGCCUUUCUGUAUUCUUCAUCUUCUUCUACGUUUUCAACAUUGAAUACCAGGAGACUGCCUGUGCAACACUGGAACUCAUAAAACAGUUUUUCUUGAGGAUAAACCCAGAGGAGGGAACAAAAUGCACCGCCAAAACCGGAGUGAGUCGGAAGACAGGGGAAGUUGUGAAGAGAAAGACAACAGUAAUAAACAACAGUGUCAUCCUUUCUUCACCACCUAAUGGAGUUUGAG